CGCAUCUGUGCAUGCAGCAUAUCAAUAAGCGGAGGAAAAGAAACUAACAAGGAUUCCCCUAGUAACGGCGAGUGAAGCGGGAAGAGCUCAAAUUUGAAAUCUUAAAGGGUUUCCCUUUACGAAUUGUAGUUUAAAGAAGUGUUUUCUGUUGAGGUUUUGGUAAAAGUUCUUUGGAAUAGGACAUCAUAGAGGGUGAGAAUCCCGUAUUUGACCUUUACUUUCAACUUUGUGAUACACUUUCAAAGAGUCGGAUUGUUUGGGAAUGCAGUCCAAAAUGGGUGGUAAAUUUCAUCUAAAGCUAAAUAUUGGCGAGAGACCGAUAGCGAACAAGUACCGUGAGGGAAAGAUGAAAAGGAACUUUGAAAAGAGAGUUAAACAGUACGUGAAAUUGUCAAAAGGGAAGCGUUUGACACCAGUGUUGUUUUUCUGAAAAUCAAUUAAAGAACUGUUUAUGCUAAGUUGUUUAGACUUUAUCAGCUAACUGUUUAGUUUUGAGCUUUUCUUUAAUGCACUUUUCAGUUAACAAGUCAACAUCAAUUUCUUUUGCUGUAAAAAAGCUUGAGGAAGGUGGCUUGAGAUUCGUCUUAAGUGUUUAUAGCCUCUUGCCUAUGCAGUCGGAGAGAUUGAGGUCUGCAGCGUAGAUCCUUCGGGGCUAAAUGCAUUUGUGCUAAGUUAUAGCAUUUCAUAGACAACUUGUUGACUAUGAUUUGUCUUGUAGCUUACUCGCUUAUGUUAUUUUACCUACGCUUAGGAUGUUGACAGCAGUAUAGACUGU
rnacentral:rRNA from 1 species